rnacentral:rRNA from 1 species
CUACGGGGGGCAGCAGUGAGGAAUAUUGCACAAUGGGGGGAACCCUGAUGCAGCAACGCCGCGUGGAGGAUGACGCAUCUCGGUGUGUAAACUCCUUUUAUAUGUCAAGAAAAUGACGGUAGCAUAUGAAUAAGCACCGGCUAACUCCGUGCCAGCAGCCGCGGUAAUACGGAGGGUGCAAGCGUUACUCGGAAUCACUGGGCGUAAAGGACGCGUAGGCGGGUUGGAAAGUCAGGUGUGAAAUCCUACAGCUUAACUGUAGAACUGCACUUGAAACUUCUAAUCUAGAGUGUGGGAGGGGGAGAUGGAAUUAGUGGUGUAGGGGUAAAAUCCGUAGAUAUCACUAGGAAUACCUAAAGCGAAGGCGAUCUCCUGGAACAUUACUGACGCUAAGGCGUGAAAGCGUGGGGAGCAAACAGGAUUAGAUACCCUUGUAGUC